rnacentral:rRNA from 1 species
GACGAACGCUGGCGGCGUGCUUAACACAUGCAAGUCGAACGGAAAGGCCCUGCUUUUGUGGGGUGCUCGAGUGGCGAACGGGUGAGUAACACGUGAGUAACCUGCCCUUGACUUUCUGAUAACUUCAGGAAACUGGGGCUAAUACCGGAUAGGAGCUCCUGCUGCAUGGUGGGGGUUGGAAAGAUUCGGCGGUUGGGGAUGGACUCGCGGCUUAUCAGCUUGUUGGUGGGGUAGUGGCUUACCAAGGCUGUGACGGGUAGCCGGCCUGAGAGGGUGACCGGCCACAUUGGGACUGAGAUACGGCCCAGACUCCUACGGGAGGCAGCAGUGGGGAAUAUGGCACAAUGGGCGGAAGCGUGAUGCAGCAACGCCGCGUGCGGGAUGACGGCCUUCGGGUUGUGAACCGCUUUCGAAUGUGACGAGGCGUGAGUGACGGUAAUGGGUAAAGAAGCACCGGCUAACUACGUG